CGAAAUCUCUCUUCUCCUCUCCGUUUACCAAUUCUUCUAUUGGAUAGAAGAAUCUUUAUGUGAUAUGUCAACAUGUGAAAUUUGUGAACUACUAGAAUUAGAGGGAUUAGGGAAAGAAACUAGAGAUUAUUAGUGUAUCUGAUGAAUGAUGCUGCUGUUCACGUUGUCUUCAUUGUCAGAUUGGAGCUGUUGUUCACGUUGUCUUCAUUGUCCGAUUGGAGCUGCUGAUAGCUAAUUGCAUAUAUCUGGAUGUUGUGCUUGCUAAUUUCUAUUAUAUUUCUAGUUGCUGUUUACUCUGUGUUUCAUUACAAUUUGUCUAUCUACUGAUUGGAGUAUCUAUUAGUAGUAGGUUUUAAAAACCUGGACAUCGAACCGAGAGCCUGAUCACGUUUGAGAGUCGUAGCUUCAUAGCUUGUUGAUGUGCUUCUCUUUUAAGUUCUAACUAGGAUCCUUGUAGAAGUAAACUACUACUGCUAGUCCAUCGGAACAAUCUAUCUUCUGUUGUUGCAAUAAAGACAAAGUCUGUUUAAGACAAUUUUCGAUGGAUUUAUUUUAGUGUGAAUGGGUUGAUGUUUGUGAAAAAGGAAGUAUAAAAAGGACAACUAUACCUACACACUUGUUAACUUCUCACAUUUGAUGCACAAAAGGAGAUACGAUUGAACAUAAACCUUUUAUUUUGCCUAACCAAGCCGAUCAAGUGUUUUAUCUAGAAGAGGAACUGAACCCAUGUUGGUCAGUGAUGAUGCAGAAUGAACUACAAUAGAGAUAGAUGUGACACUGGAAAUGAUGAAUGCACACAAGACGUAGACGCUGAGGCAUUCUAUGUUUCUCACCUCACGGAUAUGUUUAAAAGAAAAGGAAAGAUCAACAUUGGGUAACAUCCUAUAUUGAGGGAACAACUGUGGAUGCUAUUGAUAAUGCUUUGAACGAUGAAGAAGAGUGGAGGAAAUUUUGCAAGUGGAGAUUAGAAGGAUUGUUCUAACUGAUGGAUGAAGCAAUAUGUUCUUUUAGCAGGCUUUUAUAUAUUUGCAUUGUUUUUGCUUUUCAAAAUGAAGCUUGGAACAUGUCAGAAAAUUCCAGUGGACUUAAGUUUCAUCUAUGACAGUUGACAGAUUGUCAUUGGAAAUAGAUACAUUUUGGUUGAAGUAUUAUGUUAGAUUUACUAUCUGAUAAACUAAGUGUACGUAAGUUUGAAAUUAAACCUGGAUGGCUGAUUGCCUGAUUCAACAUUUUAUUCUUUGUUGUUGUGAACUAACCUUUGUGUUUGUGAUUCAACGUGUCUUUUUGGUGAUUUUAUAGUUAAUCAAACAGGCAAAUAAACACUAGCAUAGAAUAGAGGAUUCAGCCAUCAAACACAUCUCAUGCAUCAGAUCAAGUUCGCUAGUAACUCACAAAUUGUCUCAUAGAAAUUUAACUACUAUUAUCUCCAUUUCCAGCAAACGUUCACAGUAAUAAGAGAAGAGCGAGAUUCAGAGAUUAGUUCUAGUCAAUUUUCAAGUUAUAGAUGUAGCAGGUGUAGGUGAUGGAGAAGAAACUAUGCAGAGCUUGGAGAAGAAUAGUAGAAGAGGAGCCUUGGGACACACGAGCAAAGAUGUUAGAGGAAGGCACAACUGCAUUGUUUGGUGGAGGGCGCCACAAGACAGAAACUCACGCGGAGAACCAGACACUGCAGCUCCCUGUCUGGUGAGGCGUGUGACUUCCCCUUCCUCCUGUUAUGGCCGUCAGGAGAAGGAGAGCGAGCAGUGGCGAAUGUAGAAAUAAUUUCCAGGUGUGGCGGAGCUUAUAAAGGAGAAAAGCAUGCAAAAUGCAAAUGUCCAAAAACUCUCUAGACUAUUAUAUAUAUAGCACUUUGUGUUCUGCAAAUACAACUAAUAUCCAAAUUUAAGUAACGUAUUGGAUUA